rnacentral:sRNA from 1 species
GUUUGGAAGUACAGGCCUAUUUAUGCUAGUCAGUUUAAAGUCGUUCACCAUUUAGCGUUAUCCCCGAUACCACUUCAUUGCGAAUUCCUUCUAAUUAAUUCCCAUAAGUAAAAAUAAAAAACAAACCUCAUAUGCCUUAUGGCAAUCAAAAAAAUUAAAGGAAAUUCUAUGUCUAAUACAAUGACUGGUUCAGUAAAAUGGUUUAACGAAUCGAAAGGUUUUGGCUUCAUCACUCCGGCUGACGGCAGCAAAGAUGUGUUUGUUCACUUCUCUGCGAUCCAGAGCGACAGCUUCAAGACAUUAUUUGAAGGUCAGAAUGUUACCUUCAAUAUUGAAGACGGGGCAAAAGGUCCGUCUGCAUCAAAUGUGGUGGGUCUCUAAGGCACACCAAUGAUAAUAGCACUGUUUUUU